AGAGUUUGAUCCUGGCUCAGAAUCAACGCUGGCGGCGUGCCUAACACAUGCAAGUCGAACGAGAAAGGGGAGCAAUCCCUGAGUAAAGUGGCGCACGGGUGAGUAACACGUGACUAACCUACCCUUGAGUGGGGGAUAACUUCGGGAAACCGAGGCUAAUACCGCAUAAUACCUACGGGUCAAAGGAGCAAUUCGCUCAAGGAGGGGGUCGCGGCCGAUUAGUUAGUUGGCGGGGUAAUGGCCCACCAAGACGAUGAUCGGUAUCCGGCCUGAGAGGGCGCACGGACACACUGGAACUGAAACACGGUCCAGACUCCUACGGGAGGCAGCAGUGGGGAAUUUUGCGCAAUGGGGGAAACCCUGACGCAGCAACGCCGCGUGGAGGAUGAGGUCCUUCGGGACGUAAACUCCUUUCGAUCGGGACGAUUAUGACGGUACCGGAAGAAGAAGCCCCGGCUAACUUCGUGCCAGCAGCCGCGGUAAUACGAGGGGGGCGAGCGUUGUUCGGAAUUAUUGGGCGUAAAGGGUGCGUAGGCGGUUUGGUAAGUCUGAUGUGAAAUCUAUGGGCUCAACUCAUAGUCUGCAUUAGAAACUGCCGGGCUUGAGUAUGGGAGAGGUGAGUGGAAUUCCUGGUGUAGCGGUGAAAUGCGUAGAUAUCAGGAGGAACACCUGUGGCGAGAGCGGCUCACUGGACCAUAACUGACGCUGAUGCACGAAAGCUAGGGGAGCAAACAGGAUUAGAUACCCUAGUAGUCC
rnacentral:rRNA from 1 species